UUAAAUUUUCAAAUAUGUUCAUCUUUAUUUUUUAUUUAUACGUGAAUAUGAACUACAAACAACAGUUUCUAACAAUGCCCUCAAAGCAGAACAUGUUAAUUCAACAAAAAAUACAGUUCACAUUCGCGUAUAAAUAAAAUAUUAUAAAAUUGUAAACUAAAAUUACGUAUUCAAAAAAGAAGACAAAUGUGUUCAUCCAUAUCCCAGAAUCCGCGUUAAUGGUGAAUAAUUGAGUACGUUACACGCGAUUACACUCACUGCUGUUACACAUGUAGCAAACAGGAUGUCAAAGGCUAAAUUAAUUAUCUUCUAGCCCCCACUUAAACAAAUUCAACAAAUAUGUGCAAUACUAGUUGAUAAAUCAUCUCAAGUAAAUGAUUCAGUAUCAUAUUCGAGUACACAGCGAAUUAAAAUGAAGUUUUUAAUAAUAUUUUAUGCCACCUUCUUUGUGGUCAACGCAGUUUUAGAAGAAAACAAAAUACUAAUCAAAGAGUUGUCUAAAAUUGAGAAUGCGAACAGGCAGUGCGAUAAGCAAUGCAGUUAUAAAUGCACUUUAGAAAAGUUGAACUAUGAUGAAACCGCCGACGAAAAAACAUCAUCAUAUCGAAAAUUCUGCAAACAAAACACAACCACUAUCGAAGAUGACUGCGAAAAGGCGAUGGAAUUUGUCUAUUGUUUGCAUCGCGAAGUACAGAAUGAAAUAAAUAAAAUCAGAGACGACUGCGUAGAGAAACAUGGCGCCGACAUGCAAGCAUACAGAAUGGAAAGCCUUGAAAACUUGGUGGAAAAACAGAGUUACGCCUGUUUCAUGUUUUGUUUCCAAAAGAAUAGAGGAGUUAUGAACGAUGAUAUGAGUUUCAAUUUCGAUGAACAAAAACAAAACAAUCCAACUAUCAAAGCUUGGAUUGACGACUGUGCAAAAGCAAGCGAGAAAGAGAAAACCAAAUGCUCACAAGCAGCAAGUCGCUACUACUGCCUGGAAAAUAAACUUCGUGGAAAUUAAAAAAGUCACCAUCAACUUAAUAAAUGCUUCUUACUCGCUGUUAGCAGCCAAUAACUUGAAAAUUGUCACUUGUAUGACUAUACAAAACUUGUAUAGCUAUUUAAUAUGCAUGAAAAAAUCUUAAUAAUUACUAA